GGCGAUCAGAUACCGCCCUAGUUCUGACCGUAAACGAUGCCAACUCGCGAUCCGCCGGCGGAGCAUUUCGCCCUGGUGGGGAGCGUCCCGGAAACGAAAGUCUUCCGGUUCCGGGGGAAGUAUGGUUGCAAAGCUGAAACUUAAAGGAAUUGACGGAAGGGCACCACCAGGAGUGGAGCCUGCGGCUUAAUUUGACUCAACGCGAGGAACCUCACCCGGCCCGGACACCGUAAGGAUUGACCGAUCGACAGCUCAUUCAUGAUUCGGUGGUUGGUGGUGCAUGGCCGUUCUUAGUUCGUGGAUUUGAUCUGUCUACUUUAUUGCGAUAACCGAGCGAGACCCACGCCUGCUAACUAGUCAGUGCAUUGCCAUUGUGCGCGCCGACUUCUUAGAGGGAUUCGCGGUGUUCAGCCGUUUGAAAGUGGGCAAUAACAGGUCUGUGAUGCCCUUAGAUGUCCGGGGCUGCACGCGGGCUACACUGGCAAAACCAGCGUGCUUGUCCUGCCUCGAAGGAGGUGGGUAAACCCGGCAAAAUUUGCCGUGAUUGGGGUCGGAGAUUGCAAUUAUUUUCCGUGAACGAGGAAUUCCAAGUAAGUGCGAGUCAUCAGCUCGCGUUGAUUACGUCCCUGCCCUUUGUA
rnacentral:rRNA from 1 species